AGGGGAGGUGGAACGUGAUGCACACUUCUCAGCCAACACUUCCAGGGACAAUGCACACACCAGUCACUUCGAGGAGCUGCCUCAGCCCUGCCAGACCGGUUUCCCCAGGAAGGACACAGGCCCUGUGCAGAGGAGGGAUCCAAGACCAGCUAAGGAGACACUCCCUCCCUCAAGCGGGGAGGUAGAUUUUAGAGACUGGGCACCAGAGCAGAGGGCUCGGUUCAGUAUGGCGUACUGAUAUUAUGCAGGAUACUGCAGGCAGCUCUAGACAUUGGGCUAUUUUUCACACUGAAAUCCAAUCUGGAUGGUCCACUGAAGACAAAUGAGGUAUUAUAUAGCAUCAAAGGACAGAGGCCCUGUUGACUACGUUCCUCCCUCCCUUCCCCCAGGAAGGAGAGACCGACGCAUGAACUCUUCCCACCAGCUUGGAGUCUAGGGUGGAGGCGAUAAAAAUCCCGACAAGGAGAAACUGGUUCUUGUUUGCUGCUUGGCCUCCCACAGGGCUGGAGCUACAAAACAGAAGCAGAGCUCUCCAGGGUCAACCUGCAUUAUCCCUACAGGACAUUCAGUGCUGACAGAUUGCUACAACUCUCUCGCCUUUUGGAACCAGAGACUAACUCGUUUGUGUAGAUCCGUUGCCUGCUUUAACCUGUAAAUAACAACGCUCGCGUUUCUUUUCCCUAGCUAAUAAAUCCUGCGUUCGUUUGCU